ensembl:lncRNA
AUUCAAUACAAUCUAACAGAGACUUAAGUGGUAACAACAAGUCUCUUUAUUGCCUUAAAGGAAAAAAACAAACAUACUAAUUCAAUAUCAGAUCCUUGGUCCUGGAAAUCUGUCCCCAGAGAUCUUCAUUUGUUACAUUCCUGUGCCCCAUACACUGCACUGUUAUAGAAACACUGUUUUUUAUUAAAACUGAACAACAACCAUUGAACACAAACCCUGAACUAUAGUCAGUAAUCGUUGUUUUCCUUCAUGGCUUUGAUGCAAUUCUUAACUCAUAGACAUCAUUGUCAUCAUUAACUCAGUUCUCAAAACAGUCAAGGCCUUUGUCAUACCUCACUAAAACAAUCAAAAUCUCCAUAGCAUGUCCAAACAUGCAGGGUCAGUCAUGUAAAUUCUCACUUUGUGACCAGUGAAUAAAAUAAUUUUUUCACUGUUUUAAGGCAUAGAAACAAAAAAUGCUUUUAUGUGUUGUUAGGCGUGUCUUGAACGCGCAAAAAAAAAAAGAAAAAAAGAAAAAAAGGCCCACUCCACCAAAGCAAGAACCCAAACAAUAGUAUCUUCUAAAAUGCUAAGCAGCCAUUUAUUUGCUUCAGCAGUGAGCAGUGCCAAGAAUAACAAACAAAACUCCCUAAUGGUCCCUACGCUUUCCUACACAAAAUGAAAACCAAACAAAAGACAAUUCACUUACCUAACUUUCUACAUGAAAAACAGGCGAAAACUCAAUCAACAAAAAUGGCUUCUCACGCCUACUAGGCUGCUGCAGUGAACAAUAUAUACAAGGUGAACAAAAUACUCAAUUGCUACUUUACUUUACAAAUCUAUUUACAGCUAUUUACAAAAUUAAGAUACCAACACCAGACACAGACACACACGGUUAUACUUUGUCAACGAAACUCUACACAGCAACAAAUCAAAACACAGGUUCUUUGUUGGAUGGUGGAGGCUAGGAGAGAGGGGGCCAGGUGGCUGUCAUCUGGUAGUUAAAAACUGGAGGUGAUUAUCCAAUUAUCCAAUCCAAGGAUAGGAAGAGACUCCACCCAACUACUCAGAAGGCACGCCCAGGUGUCCAACUCCUAAAAGAGAAAGGGGAAAAAACCCACAGUCAUCCUCUGGUGGGAGGAGUCACGCAUAAAACAAAACACUGACAACAUUGGAUCGUAACAGUGUUUUUCA